rnacentral:rRNA from 1 species
GAUGAACGCUGGCGGCGUGCUUAACACAUGCAAGUCGAACGGAGUGCCUUUGAAAGAGGAUUCGUCCAAUUGAUAAGGUUACUUAGUGGCGGACGGGUGAGUAACGCGUGAGGAACCUGCCUUGGAGUGGGGAAUAACACAGUGAAAAUUGUGCUAAUACCGCAUAAUGCGGUUGGGCCGCAUGGCUCUGACUGCCAAAGAUUUAUCGCUCUGAGAUGGCCUCGCGUCUGAUUAGCUAGUUGGUGGGGUAACGGCCCACCAAGGCGACGAUCAGUAGCCGGACUGAGAGGUUGGCCGGCCACAUUGGGACUGAGACACGGCCCAGACUCCUACGGGAGGCAGCAGUGGGGAAUAUUGGGCAAUGGGCGCAAGCCUGACCCAGCAACGCCGCGUGAAGGAAGAAGGCUUUCGGGUUGUAAACUUCUUUUCUUAGGGACGAAGCAAGUGACGGUACCUAAGGAAUAAGCCACGGCUAACUACGUGCCAGCAGCCGCGGUAAUACGUAGGUGGCAAGCGUUAUCCGGAUUUACUGGGUGUAAAGGGCGUGUAGGCGGGAUUGCAAGUCAGAUGUGAAAACCACGGGCUCAACCUGUGGCCUGCAUUUGAAACUGUAGUUCUUGAGUACUGGAGAGGCAGACGGAAUUCCUAGUGUAGCGGUGAAAUGCGUAGAUAUUAGGAGGAACACCAGUGGCGAAGGCGGUCUGCUGGACAGCAACUGACGCUGAGGCGCGAAAGCGUGNGGAGCAAACAGG